rnacentral:rRNA from 1 species
UACGUAGGGUGCAAGCGUUACUCGGAAUUACUGGGCGUAAAGCGUGCGUAGGUGGUGAGUUAAGUCUGUCGUGAAAGCCCCGGGCCUCAACCUGGGAAUGGCGAUGGAUACUGGCUCGCUAGAGUGCGGUAGAGGAGAGUGGAAUUCCCGGUGUAGCAGUGAAAUGCGUAGAGAUCGGGAGGAACAUCAGUUGCGAAGGCGGCUCUCUGGACCAGCACUGACACUGAGGCACGAAGGCCAGGGGAGCAAACGGG